UGAAUCCGGAUCUUCAACGGGUUA
rnacentral:snRNA from 1 species